UGGGGAAUAUUGCACAAUGGGGGAAACCCUGAUGCAGCGACGCCGCGUGAGUGAAGAAGUAUUUCGGUAUGUAAAGCUCUAUCAGCAGGGAAGAUAAUGACGGUACCUGACUAAGAAGCCCCGGCUAACUACGUGCCAGCAGCCGCGGUAAUACGUAGGGGCAAGCGUUAUCCGGAUUUACUGGGUGUAAAGGGUGCGUAGACGGUUCGACAAGUCAGAUGUGAAAGCCCGGGGCUCAACCCCGGGACUGCAUUUGAAACUGCCGGACUAGAGUGCAGGAGAGGUAAGUGGAAUUCCUAGUGUAGCGGUGAAAUGCGUAGAUAUUAGGAGGAACACCAGUGGCGAAGGCGGCUUACUGGACUGUAACUGACGUUGAGGCACGAAAGCGUGGGGAGCAAACAGGAUUAGAUACCCUGGUAGU
rnacentral:rRNA from 1 species